rnacentral:ncRNA from 1 species
CUGCAGCCAGGGCAGCCCUAACGGGGACGCCUGGACACUGCUAGCCGGUAGUGUGGUGUACGGAAAAACACCGGCAGCC